UUGAAGAUUUAAUGUGUUUAGAUUCUCAUUUUCUGUAUUAUCGGGUUUAUUUCUUUCACUUAAGUUUAGAGUGUAUGCAGAAAUCCAAAGGUGAGGAAGAACUAGAAUCAACACUCUAGAAAUUGUUGUCUAAGCAAGAACUAGCAUAUGCAGAGGCUUAAAACACAGACCUGUACAAGGCAUAGUUUUUUCAGAUGUAUUACGGCGGGCCAUGUUAUUCUUCGACUGUUUUAAUUGUAUAAGUUUGGAAAAGUAGCUUAGAAAAUUUUGUCACUAAAUUGCAUUUACAUCUCAGGAGCUGCAAUCCCGUACGUGGUCAACUUCCCUUUGAGCAGUCAAGAUGUUUCAAAUUAGAGCCUAGCCAUGGAAGAUACCAAGUCAAAACCGGAGAUUGGUCCAAACCUGAAGGAGUUUCAGUGGAAACCCUUUUGCCAAGUCGUCCGCCAUCACGAAUUGCAGAACAUUUAACCCGAGCACUCUGCCUAAUAGGCCUUCAGUUAUAUUAUUUAAUUCUCUCCCUCCCUCUCUUCUAUUUUCCUGAUAAAUACCUUGGGAGAACAAGUUCCUUUCAAUUGCUGGCCUUUCAAAGGGUCCUUCUGGAACUAUCCAGAUGAAGACAUUUGAACUGCAAACCGGCACAUGGUCAAUGUUGAAAACUUAUGGAAAAGCACCGGUGGCUCAUGGUGGUCAGUUUGUAACCCUCGUCAGAACAAUCUUAGCAAUAUUUGGUUGGCAGGAUGCAAAGCAAACGCUCUGGAAUGAUCUACAUAUACUUGACCUCGAAACCGACCUGGGAUGAAUUUGAUGCUGUGUUCUGUUUCUGGCUAAUUUUAAGCUUCCUGAUGUGUAACAUGAGCGGAAGCAUUUUGACCCAGAUGUUGGUGCUCCUAGUUAUGUGGAAGCACUAAGUGAGAUUCAAAUUCCUACCCAUUAUGAAAGCCAAGUUCUAAUCCAUAUAGUCAACCGCCAAAACCCGGUGCUAAUUUCUGCGGCCAUUCCUCACAGCCUAAUGCGAAUCCAUAUGUUCAAUGGACAUAAGUCAUUUUGCUAUAACCCAUCAAGGAACAUAAGCCAAGGGCUGGUCAUGCAGGUGUGACUAUUGGGGAGAACUGGUUUAUUGUUGGUCAUGGAGACAAUAAAAGUGGGGCAUCUGAAACUGUUGUGCUUAACAUGUCAACCGUGGCCUGGUCAGUUGUGACAUCAGUUGAAGGAUGUGUUCCUCUUGCUAGUGAGUAAUGUUACAAUGGCUUAAACUUCUCAAUUUGGAUCAAGGACUGUAAGAGAGAUGCCAAUAAAUAAAAGUGGAUUAAGGACCCCUUGGCGCGUCCCUCAAGUUUUGAGUGUAUUGUCAAGGAAAUUGAGUCUGUUGUUAGGUGUAAUGAGGUCCUAAUUCGUUUCAUUCAAAGAAGUGUGAAUUGGGAGGCGGACGAGCUAGCAAAAAUGGGGAUCGGUUAGUUCUAGGGAGUAAGAUGAUCGAAUCUGUUUGUCUCGGAAAUAGGGUUUAAGUCUGGUUGUAGGCUCACUUAAUGUGGAAGAUAUAUCUUUCCGAGGAUACAAUAGGUGCUACAACAGUGAGGCUGAGGAUAGAUUUCACAGGUGAAGGCAGACAAGUGAGGUCAACAUUUACAUUUUUUGUGCAAAGAUGAUAUUGGACUUUGUGACAUAUCCGCUCUUAAAAUUGAUAACAGAAGCGAAGAUUAUGAUCCAGUGCCAAAGGACAAGAAAUCACAGCAGAUGAUGGUGCACCGGUGCAGCCAUCAGACUGAAUUUUCUAUUCAAUUUGUUUGUCUGCGGUUUGAGGUAAGCCAAUAUAUUGGAAGAAUCCACCUGUAUUCUUGCAUCCCAGGGAAGGAUUUUAGACCGGUGCGACUGUUUGAGAAUUUUCGACAAGAGGAAAUCGAGUUAGGAAAUGCUCUUAAUUGUGAUAAUAAAUACAAUUUGCAAUAGAAAAUGCUCUUGCUUGUGAUAAUAAAGACAAUUUGCAAAUAUUUUAUGGACAACCCAGCAUCUAGGCAUGCUCAUUUAGCCUUGAAUGAAAUAAACUGAAACCCAACAAGGAAAAUUACGUGGAAAGCCUUUGCAACGCCCUCUGUCUGCUUAGUUAUGCUACUUGAAGGAAAGCAUUAACCAGAAUAUGGGGGACUGGUGAAAGGUGGGAGCAAGCGGCGAACUACACCUUUUUGUAAGAAAAAUGUUUCUUUACCUCCCAAUGUUGUCUGCAAAAAGGUCCAUCUACGGCGUAGUUAAAGUAAAAAGGAGAAAGAAUGAUGAACCACUCUGCAAACUCUUCCAAAAACCAUGGUCGACAAACUUGUUAGUGAUCCUUCUGAUGACAAUGCAUGGCAUGCCGACCACGAUAUCCUUGUUUAUGGGGGGUGAAUGCAGGCUAUAGAAUAUGAGGUCUCUUUGUGUGACUUGUCAUGCUGUUGUAACUGCAGAACAAUGCGCUAAACGAAGGUCAAUGUGGACCAAGGGUACACCUGAAAACCAUGCUACUGAAUUUGGAAAUCAGCCGACAUUUAAAUUUGGAAAUCAGUUGCUCCAACUACUGCUGUUCCCUCUGCUUAAACUAGUGCUGAAACAAACUUACUUGAUGUUCGGUCUGAUUCAUUUGCCAUUGUCCCAGUUACACCUGAAAACCAUGCUACUAAAUUUGAAAAUCAGUCGACAUUUAAAUUUUGAAAUCAGUUGCUCCAACUACUGCUGUUCCCUUUGCUUCAACCAAUGCUGAAACAAACUUACUGGAUGUUUGGUCUGAUUCAUUUUCCAUUGUCCCAGUUACACAUGAAAACCAUGCUACUGAAUUUGGAAAUCAGCCGACAUUUAAAUAUGGAAAUCAGUUGCUCCAACUACUGCUAUUCCCUUUGCUUCAACCAAUGCUGAAACAAACUUACUGGAUGUUCAGUCUGAUUCAUUUUCCAUUGUCCCAGUUACACCUGAAAAACAUGCUACUGAAUUUGAAAAUCAAUCAACAUUUAAAUUUGGAAAUCAGUGCUGAAACAAACUUACUGGAUGUUCAGUCUGAUUCAUUUGCCAUUGUCCCAGUUACACCUGAAAACCAUGCUACUGAAUUUGGAAAUCAGCCGACAUUUAAAUUUGGAAAUCAGUUGCUCCAACUACUGCUGUUCCCUCUGCUUCAACCAGUGCUGAAACAAACUUACUGGAUGUUCAGUCUGAUUCAUUUGCCAUUGUCUCAGUUAAACCUGAAAACUAUGCUACUAAAUUUGGAAAUCAGCCGACAUUUAAAUUUGGAAAUCAAGGUUUUGAAGAUCCAUUUGGUGAUGAUCCUUUUAAAGAUGUCCCUUCAACUGAUGUUCCAACUGCACAACAAAUUUCUACUUACAUGCCUACUUUUGUCCUGCAACAAUUCAAAAUGUUGUUCCUCAACCCCCUUUUGCUAAUUUGGAGACAGCCGCGGACAUCAUCUUUGGGGACUCAUUCUCUGGCAAUGCUUACUUCACAACUAGCAUGUUUAGUGUUCAACCUCCAUCAACAAACUUCCAGUUUUUGCCUCUAGAAUUGUCAACUCCAAAUGAGGGAAAAUGAUUUACUGCAGUGAUAUAAGAGAUUGCUCCUGGCAUAUUCUACGCUAGCAUAAGUAUAUAUGGUUCUGCUUUUGGUUAACUUUUAGCUUCCUGAUGUAUAAUGGUGCUCCUAGUUAUGUAGAAGCACUAAGUGGGAUUCGGAUUCCUACCCAUGAUGAAAGGGUUGGCCAAACUUCUGUAGUAGCUAUUGACGGGGCUUUUCCACCUGCUAGCAAUAAUAAUCAUAACCAAUGUUAGCAAAAGCUGGAUUUAAGUUCUUGCAUCUUUAUUGGUAAGAGGUAUUUCUUCCACAUUAUUGAUGGGGUACAAUAAUAGGGUUGGCCAAACGUCUGAAGUGGAUUAAAAAUCCAGACUUAUGUACCCUGUUGUUUCAGUCGUUGGUAAGAGGCGUAGCUAAAAAUGUGGAAGGAAAGGGCAUCAUUUUAAGACAUAUUGUGAGAGCUGCUAACUGGGAAGCGAAUGAGUUAGCAAAAGCUGGUAUAGGAUGAUCUGUGGUUAUGAGUUAUUGUUUUUAGGCUGUGGUGUCCAUUCAGUUUUUUAAGGAGUAUGGUUUUAGUGCUGCAGUUUGUGUUUAGGUUGUUAAGUCUUAUGUUUUAAGCAGACAAUGGUUAUGGUUUGGUUGUAUGUUAUGUUCCAGAUUAAUAUAAUUCAGAGGCGGUCUUUUCCUCCUUCCUAUUUCCUUCAUGGUACUUAUAUAACAUGUAGGAUAUGAAGGGGUUUUUUAAUGAGGCCUAUAUUCUAUCAAAAAAAAAAAAAAUCAUAACCAGUGUUGUGAGAUAAAUAUGUUUCUUUACCUCCCAAUGUUGUCUGGAAAAAGGUCCCUCUUAAAGUAAAAAGGAGAAAGAGUGUAUUCAUGGUUGGACCUUGACUGAUGAACUACUUUGCAAACUCUGCCAAAAACCAUGCGAGGGGAGAAAUGCCAAGAUUCCUCAGUAUUUUGAGGAUCCUUUUUGUAAUAUUGGCUGCUAAGAAGAAUACUGCGUAAGAACUAGCAACAAAUUCCUCCGUGAGGUUUGGUCACAAUGUUUCAUCGCUACUUGACCAUUUUAUCCAUCUCUCAAGCUUUCACCUUCUAAGAGCAUGUUUUAUGAGACAACUCAAAAUUUCCCUGAACGCUUUCAACUUGACCAUGAUAUCUGCACAAAUUGCCAAUUAGAAGACUGACAUAAACUUGUGAAGAACUUAAAACCUUUAUCGUUAGAGGCGACAAGAGUAUAUAAACAAAGUUGCACCA